GUGAGGAAUAUUGGUCAAUGGGCGCGAGCCUGAACCAGCCAAGUAGCGUGAAGGAUGACUGCCCUAUGGGUUGUAAACUUCUUUUAUACGGGAAUAAAGUCGCCUACGUGUAGGCGUUUGUAUGUACCUUAUGAAUAAGCAUCGGCUAACUCCGUGCCAGCAGCCGCGGUAAUACGGAGGAUGCGAGCGUUAUCCGGAUUUAUUGGGUUUAAAGGGAGCGUAGAUGGGCUUUUAAGUCAGUUGUGAAAUUCUGCGGCUCAACCGUAGGACUGCAGUUGAAACUGGGAGCCUUGAGUGCAGUUGAGGUGCAUGGAAUUCGUGGUGUAGCGGUGAAAUGCUUAGAUAUCACGAAGAACUCCGAUUGCGAAGGCAGUGCACCAAGCUGUAACUGACAUUGAUGCUCGAAAGUGUGGGUAUCAAACAGGAUUAGAAACCCUAGUAGUCC
rnacentral:rRNA from 1 species